ACUAUUUUGACAGAAAAUUGUGAUGGAUUUAGAAUUCAUUUAUGUAUAUAAAUUAAGUAUAUACAGGUAGUA
rnacentral:tRNA from 1 species